GAAAGCAUUUUUUUUCCCCUUUUUUCUUGUCAAACAAACCCUUACUUUGAUGCAUCAAAGGGAAGAACAAGAAAGUGGACAGGAGAAACAAAGGAAAAAAAAUAAUAAUACAUAGUUAACUGUGUGGGUUGGAACGUGACUGUCAUCUCUCUCUCUCUUACUCUCUCUUGCAAGAUUCCCUUCAGUCGCCGAUCUUUCCAACUGUUUCAGUAUCUGUCCUCUCUCUAACACAUACCAUAAUGUUCCCAGCAUCCCAAGUUUGGAAAUUCUAUUUUAACCUUCACUGCAAUUGCAAUCUUUCUGUGUACGGUGCCAACUCUGAAUUUCCAGCUCACUGUCUGCUGUUUCAGCAUUUGAUGCAGAAACCCAUGUAUUGCCACAAGUGGUUAAAACAAAUUUUGCUUCUUGGAUGCUGAUUAAUUUGUUCCAAUAAUUCCACUUGAAUUUUUUACUAAUUAUUUUAAGAAUAUUUUUUGCUUUUUGAGUUAUAAUACCCUUAUGAGAGUUAUGGUGAUGUCUGCACUGCAUCAUUGACUGGUUUUUGUUUUCAGGUCUUGAGAUUCUUCUUUUGAAUUCUGGGUUUUUCUGAGUACAUUGUGAAAAGCACGGGUUUCGAAUCGAUUGCUCGAAAUGGAGGGUGAUACAAAGUUGGACGGGAAGGCAGUGCAGACAUUUCAGAAGAAUUUUAUUCAAGUCCAGAAUAUACUGGAUCAGAAUAGGGUGCUAAUCAAUGAGAUUAAUCGGAAUCAUGAGUCAAAGAUUCCUGACAAUUUAAGCAGAAAUGUGGGACUGAUCAGAGAACUCAACAACAAUAUCAGAAGAGUGGUUGAUUUAUAUGGUCAUCUGUCAACUUCUUUCACAAAACCUGUGGAUGCUUCAUCUGAGGGAGAUUCAAACGGUCACAAAAGGGGCAGGCCUGCUUAGAUUCGUAGCAAGAAAUACAGAAAAAUAAGUCCAUUUUUCUGAUCUUAAUUCUUUUACUUGAUAUCUUAUUAUUGUCUUGAAAUCGCUUGUUAAAAAUAAUAUUAGCUCCAAGUUACUCAAGCAUGGUUCGGUUCUUGAUUUUCUUGCU